AUGGCGACCGGCGCACGGGUGAGUAACACGUAUCCAACCUGCCGAUGACUCGGGGAUAGCCUUUCGAAAGAAAGAUUAAUACCCGAUGGCAUAGUUCUUCCGCAUGGUAGAACUAUUAAAGAAUUUCGGCCAUCGAUGGGGAUGCGUUCCAUUAGCUUGUUGGCGGGGUAACGGCCCACCAAGGCAUCGAUGGAUAGGGGUUCUGAGAGGAAGGUCCCCCACAUUGGAACUGAGACACGGUCCAAACUCCUACGGAAGGCAGCAG
rnacentral:rRNA from 1 species